GAUGAACGCUGGCGGCGUGCUUAACACAUGCAAGUCGAGCGAACGGGCGCGGCGCUUGCUUUUUGGUUGUGUGCCGCGGAGGUGAGUGUAACGUGUGGAAACCCUCCCUGUAAGUCUGGUAUAACUUCGGGACACCGGCGCUUACACCGGAUAAGAUUUUGAUGCACAUUGGGGAAAAGUGAGAUACGGUCGUUCUGGCACGUCUAGAUGGAUCCGCGCUUCUUUAGGUAGUUGGUAAGUUAACGGGUUAUGAAGGCUACGAUGCAUAGCAGAACUGAGAGGGGGAUCGCCCACCCUGGAGCUGAACCACCGUCCUGGCGCCUACGGGAGGCAGCAGUAGGGAAUCGUCCGCAAUGGGCGAAAGCAUGACGGAGCAACGCCGCGUGAGUGAUGACGGUCUUCGGAUCGUAAAGCUCUGUUAUUAGGUAAGAACAUAUGUGUAAGUUACUGUGCACAGCUUGACGGUAACUAAUAAGAAAGCAACGGCUAACUACGUG
rnacentral:rRNA from 1 species